rnacentral:piRNA from 1 species
UUGGUCUCAACAAGAACAGCCUGCUUAGCUCU